UUGCAAGUAAUUGUUAUUAUAUGUAUGAAUUUAGUAUAUGCAUAUAUAUAAACAAUAUAUGAAAUGUGAACACAUUUCAGAUGCGUUCUAGUGUAGGUACAUCUGAAAUGUGCUGCAGGUGACAUGGUAUCCAAGGGUGCUGCAUUGCCAACUCCUGAUAUAAAUGAAUGAAAUACAUAAAUGCAGCACUGUAAUUUGCUGGUUUUGCACCCACACAAAUAUAUUUUUAUGCUCCCAAAAACAGGACAAAUGCAUUUUUAUAUCCAAAAAUGGAGGAAAUACAUUUUUACACCUCAAAACAGUUUCACCAAAUUGAAAGCUUUGGUUUGCAUUUAUCUUUGUGCCCAUGGCAAAUGUCUCACUUGCCAGCCCUUGUUAUAUUGCUAAUUGUAUAUGUGGUGUCCUGAAUGAUUGCUAAUUUUGAAUGACACUACUAUUAUUCAUGAGAGGAUAAUAUGUAUACCUAUUGACAAUGAGAGGAUAAGAUAUGUCAAAAGAAUUAUGCCUUUGUGAAUAACAGUUUCUGAAUAAAACAAGUCUAAUGGCUGAUGAGAUCACAAAUGCAUAUGUCAAAAUGUUCUUUAUUCCAAUAGUUACACAACAGAAAUCAAUACAGUGUCAGGAUGUAAGCAUAACGGCAUUGAAUGCUGUAUAAAGUAUUUACAACUUGUAGGGAUCAAUAAAACCAAUUGCAUGAGCAGCUAAUAUUUAAGUACUAUAUAUAAUAAAAACAGUCCUGAUUAACAAGUAAAAUAAAAACUAAAAAGAAGCAAAUAUAAGAAAACAAAUAAACUAAAACACAUUUAAUUCAUCUGAUCUCUACUUUUCUUCUAUUUCCAUAAUAGUUCAAAAUAACUUUUCAG
rnacentral:lncRNA from 1 species